rnacentral:rRNA from 1 species
UACGGAGGGUGCGAGCGUUGUCCGGAAUCACUGGGCGUAAAGGGCGCGUAGGCGGCUCAUGAAGGCUGUGGUGAAAGUCCGGGGCUCAACCUCGGAUCGGCCGUGGCGACUCGUGGGCUGGAGCACUGUAGAGGCGGGUGGAAUUCCGGGUGUAGCGGUGGAAUGCGUAGAGAUCCGGAAGAACACCAGUGGCGAAGGCGGCCCGCUGGGCAGUGGCUGACGCUGAAGCGCGACAGCGUGGGGAGCAAACGAG